GUUUAUCAAAAACAUGUCUUUUUGUUAUUUAUAAAAAGUCUAGCCUGCCCAGUGAAAUUUAAAUGGCCGCAGUAUUUUGACUGUGCGAAGGUAGCAUAAUAAUUAGUCUUUUAAUUGAAGGCUUGUAUGAAAGGUUGGACGAAAAAUAUACUGUCUCAUUAUUAAAUAUAUAAUUUUAUUUUUUAGUUAAAAAGCUAAAAUUAUAUUAAAAGACGAGAAGACCCUAUAGAUCUUUAUGUUAAUAUUAUUUAUAAUAUUAAGAUUAUUUUAUUUUAGAUAAAAGUUAAUAUUGAGUUGGGGUGACUUUAAAAUUUAUUUAACUUUUAAUUUGAUUUAAACAUUUAUUUAUGUUUUAUAAUAAAUAAGAUCCAUUAUUAAUGAUUUUAAGAUUAAGUUACCUUAGGGAUAACAGCGUAAUCUUUCUGGAGAGUUCAUAUUAAUAGAAAGGAUUGCGACCUCGAUGUUGGAUUAAAAUAAUUUUUUGG
rnacentral:rRNA from 1 species